rnacentral:rRNA from 1 species
GGUCCUAAGGUAGCGAAAUUCCUUGUCGGGUAAGUUCCGACCUGCACGAAUGGCAUAAUGAUGGCGGCGCUGUCUCCAGCAGAGACUCAGUGAAAUCGAAAUCGCAGUGAAGAUGCUGUGUACCCGCGGCUAGACGGAAAGACCCCGUGAACCUUUACUACAGCUUUACAUUGAACUUUGACCUUACCUGUGUAGGAUAGGUGGGAGGCUUUGAAGCAGGCACGCCAGUGUCUGUGGAGCCAUCCUUGAAAUACCACCCUGGUAAUGUUGGGGUUCUAACUCAAGCUUAACAGAGCUGAGGACAAUGUAUGGUGGGUAGUUUGACUGGGGCGGUCUCCUCCUAAAGAGUAACGGAGGAGUACGAAGGUGCGCUCAGAACGGUCGGAAAUCGUUCGAAGAGUAUAAAGGCAAAAGCGCGCUUAACUGCGAGACCCACAAGUCGAGCAGAUACGAAAGUAGGUCUUAGUGAUCCGGUGGUUCUGUAUGGAAGGGCCAUCGCUCAACGGAUAAAAGGUACUCUGGGGAUAACAGGCUGAUACCGCCCAAGAGUUCAUAUCGACGGCGGUGUUUGGCACCUCGAUGUCGGCUCAUCUCAUCCUGGGGCUGAAGCAGGUCCCAAGGGUAUGGCUGUUCGCCAUUUAAAGAGGUACGCGAGCUGGGUUUAGAACGUCGUGAGACAGUUCGGUCCCUAUCUACCGUGGGCGUUGGAAAUUUGAGAGGAUCUGCUCCUAGUACGAGAGGACCAGAGUGGACGAACCUCUGGUGUUUCGGUUGUGACGCCAGUCGCAUUGCCGAGUAGCUAUGUUCGGAUGGGAUAACCGCUGAAAGCAUCUAAGCGGGAAGCCCACCUUAAGAUUAGAUUUCCCUAAAGAGCCGUUGUAGACUACGACGUUGAUAGGUUGGGUGUGGAAGCAUAGUGAUAUGUGUAGCUAACCAAUACUAAUUGCUC